GACUCUCAUCUCUCUCACGAUCCUCUCACUCUCAGACUCUCAGACUCUCAGUCGAUCAGCCCUGCACGCAGCGACAGUUUGUGAUCACCAUCUAUUCCUCUCCUCCGAUUUCUUCUGUGGGUUUCUCUCUCAAAUCAGUCAAAGGUUAUGCUACAUACAUGCUAGGUCUGUUUUGAUUGUUGUUUAGCAUCUCUGCUGCUGAGCUUUGAAAGUUUCGAAAAGCUUUUGCUUAAAUGGAGGUUGUUUUGUUAAGGCUUUUGGAAGAAUGGAUGCAGCAGAUUUUUUGCAAGGAUAUUAUCUUCAUGUGUAUUUUUGUGAUGAGUUGUAAUCUUUAAUUUCAUAAGUUUAAUUUGGUUUGUGUAUUAUUUUUUGUAAUGGUUUGUAAGAGAUUAUAUUUCCUUUUCUUGGUUGGUUGGUUAAAUGGGUGAAUGUGAGAUUCAUUUAGUUUA